GCUGUGACUUACAUUACAGGGUGUCCACCGAUAGCGUUCUGAUUAGGAAUCCGCUGCAGAACGAAAGAUGGAUUAGUAAAUUGCAAAGGAUUAAUAACCAGUUUAAGGAUGAGCUGGAUUAUAAAGACUAUACUAUCCAACAACUUAAACAGCCUAGGAAACAACAAAGCAAAACUAAAACUGGAGAAAGUAUUCCAUUAAGAUGCAAAGCUGAAGACAAUUAUUUGUCACGUCGAUGUACUAGGAGCCUCACUUCAUUAAAUGAAUCUGAGGUUAGUAUGAAACUUCAGAUCUGAAAAUGUUGUGAUUGUAUUGCUUUUGAUAAGGAAUGAGUAGGAAAAGAUCUCAUGUUCUCUAAACAAUUCCCAAGUUUUAAUUUAUUUAUCCCUUUCAAGGUGAUCAGAUCACCUGUUUUUAUAGCCUUUGAUAGGAAUAAAAGCUGUUGAAACAAUUGUGUGAUGAAUUUU
rnacentral:lncRNA from 1 species